rnacentral:lncRNA from 12 species
GACCUUAACCAACUGAGCCCCCCACAGGCGCCCCUGGAAGGAGGGCAUUCUGCCUGGAAUCCAGAACUCCUGACUCCCGUUCCAGUGCUCUUUUCUUUACCCCAUGAAGUCUCUUGACCCAAAGGUGUUAUUCUAGACAUUGCUCUUUUUUUUUUUUUUUUUGAGUCAGAGAUGGUCUUGCCACUUCUAAUGGUGAGAAACAAAGCUUUCUGAGAGCCUCUGAUAAGCUUACUGGACUCCUCUUGUGCCCUCUCUAAAAUGUAAGUUUAGUGCAGAGAUUGCUGACCCCACUCAUUCUCUUCUAGGGCUGGAUGGGGAGCAGAAAUGAAGGAAGCUGAUCAAGGAUGUAACAGGCUUUCAAGAGCUACUUAAAGACCACCAGGCUUUGGAGAGCCCAGAAUACCCUCCCUGCUCCUUUGCUGAGGCCUAAAAAGGAAAGUAACAUGUUAGUUCUGGAGCAGCCAAGACAGACUGGAGAAGCUUUGUGACAAAGACUGGUACUCAGGACCAUGGCCCCUACCCCAUGAGUCUGGGAUGAGGAUUGAUCACAGGGGCUAGGUCGGCUCUCGACUCC